GUGCUCGCUUCCGCAGCACAUAUACUAAAUUUGGAAGGAUACAGAGAAGAUUAGCAUGGCCCCUUCACAAGGAUGACACGCAAAUUCGUCAAGCGUUAAUAAAAAAA